CUGAUAUAUACCUUGUUCAUUGUGUCGUUGUUUGUGUCAGUAUUGCGUUCCGUUUCCUUGUGUUUUCUGUUCUUUGUUUUGCGGCUUCUUUUGUGGAUUACCUUUUGUGUGUUUUUGGACUCUUCAAUAAAAGCUGCAAUCGGAUCUUCCAGUUUGAGAGCACUCUGACAGAAUACUGAUUCCACUACAGAUCCAGCAGUUAGGCUAUGUUUUAUCUGGUUUGGACUAUGGAUCUCCAGGUUUCUCCUCCUGUCACAAAGAAGGAGUGAAUGGCUCGGCAUCAGGCCUUAAUGUCUCUGCAUCAGCAGGGAAUGGAGUGGGAGAUGGAGGGUCUUGGGAUCCUGGACCUCUGGGGCUUUGUCAGCUGUCUCCAUCAUUGGACUCAGUGGGCAACACCAGGUCAAUCAGAACCUUUCCAUAGGGAUUUUCCCACAAGCCCUGGCCCUCUGACUCCCAGUGUGAAGCGAAGGUCAAGAUAAAGGAGGGCAGCUAAGUCCACUCCGGUUAAUCUAGAGCCCACUCCAGUGGAGACUGUUCCAGAGUCUCAUCACAAGAUGGCCACCACAUCAGAACCUCCAGCUGUCAUUGAUGUCACGCCACCGUCUUCAGCCAUCAUGGAUUCCACUCCUGUGUUCCCGGUCAUCAUAAAUGUUGCUUUUGAGGACACUUGGGUGUUCCAAAGAUAAUUGGGGCUGAUAUCUAGUUUGGUGGAUCCACCGCUGAUAUCGGCCAGAGAAGCUGCUAUCCUGAGGGCCUUAACACUGGUUGUUACAGAGACUGAGUCCACUCCAGAGCCCGGUCCAGGAGCCCUCCAAGUCUACUCCAGAACCUGUUCCAGUCCAAGAGCUCUCAGAGUCCACUCCAGAGCCUGCUCCAGUCCAGGAGUUCUAAGAGUCCACUUCAGAGCCUGCUCCAGUCUGGGAGCUCUCAGAGUCCACUCCAGAGCCUGAGUCAGUCUGGGAGCUCUCAGAGUCCACUCAAAAGCCUGCUGCUGCUGGUGGCUUCCUGUCCUGCCGGCUCCGCCCUGGCCCCCUGCCCUGCCGGCUCUGCCCUGGCCUUCUUUUUUGCCUCUGGCUCAAGGUUGUCUUCCGCCACUCUGGCCUGGCCCACUGUCCCUUCCCUUGGUCCACCUCCAUUCCACCUCCCUCCUUGACCUCUUUGACUUUUUAUGGAGCGUCUGGAAUCCGCUUCUUUGAGGGGGGAUCAUGUCACAGUUAGCUGCUGGAGUGCCUAUCUCAGCCACCAGAGGGUACUCCUUCUGGAUCAUUGUUUGUCUGUCCUGGACUUUGUUUCCCUUAACCUUUGCACUGAUUAUUCUUUUAUUACUGCCAGCUGUUUGUCAUUUACCUAUUAGCUUCACCUGAUAUAU
ensembl:lncRNA